UGAAGUGCUUCACGCGCAUUGAUGCCAAAUUCAAAUGAUUAAUCCAAUCAACGCGUGCCACCUUGCUAGCCGUUGCACUUGAAAUGUUUUAAUUUCCUUUUAUUUUCAUUUUAUUUCAUUUUAUUCUAAAAUUCAUUAAAAAUAGUUCCCUUAUUAUUUUUUAAUCCAAUUUUUUUUCAUAAUUCCAUACAAAUAUUUUC
rnacentral:lncRNA from 1 species